GUCCAAUCCCCUCCCACCGACCCAAAUACUAAUUCCUGCACAUAGCCGGAAGAGGGAGGUGCUUCCUCUGAGGAAGGUGCAGCUGGUCCUUGUCGCCAAACUUCCUUCCGCUCUAGGAAGCCGCCUCGUUCGAUUUAACCCUUAGGAGGGCAGGCGUCAAAAAUCUCAGUCUCGCCCAGCUAUCAUCUUUCCUUUGCUUAAAACCCUCCAUUGAGCGCCACGGGGACCUGGUUUGGAGGAAUCUUGAAUAAAGAGAACUAAAGGAAGUACAGGAACUGUUUUUGGAGGCGUCCACCAGCAUCCCCGGGGUGGAGACGGCCCAGUUAAUCUGACACAAGGCAGAAGGCCUUGUCCAAGGCGGAUCGUGCCGACGAGCGACAGAAGUGCCACCUCAAUGGGAGAUGGAACACAGGUACAGCCGGCACUUCCUAGCCCAUCUCUUCAUGGUGACACCCCGGGACCUGCCUCUGAAAGACUGAAGCAGGUGGGGGGAAUCAUCUGUAGAGGGGAAAGAAGGGAUCAGGCUGGGUCUUUCUGUUUCCUGCAUGCAGCCCCGUGCCUGAAAGACUUGUCCUGUCUUCACGCUUUUGUCAAAGUUGUUGACCUCGUUUCCUGUGAAUUCCGUGUGUUAAAAGUUUCAGUCUUGUUGGGCAGCCAUGAGCUACCUAGAUGCUCAUUGCUCAUGGCUCAACUCUGGCCCCCUUAGCGGCUGAAGCCUGUCAGGGGAGGGCUGACGGUGUGGACCGAAGGAAUGGCAAAUCCGUCAUUCCCACGGACGCUGGGUCAGUUGAUUUGAAGAAAGGAAAUCAUGUCUCCUGUUUUGAAGGCACCCGCAGAACACCCUGGAGGGGCCGGAGCAUGAUGACCUAUUUGUUAGCGCCAUUACUGUUGGUUGUGGGUGUUUCAGGAUGAAGCUACCUAUCUUGACCCAUUCCAGUCUGGCUAUAAACAUGGACAGCCUUCAACACUCUAGGAAAGGGUCCCCCAACCCCCGGUCCGUAGCCCGGGACCAGGCUGUGGCCUUGGCAGGACCGCGCCAUGGAGACAGAUCUCCUGCCCCCACCACAUGCCCACACAGACACCCACAUGCCCAUUCC
rnacentral:lncRNA from 1 species